rnacentral:rRNA from 1 species
CUCGUAGGCGGCCAACUAAGUCGGAUGUGAAAUCCCCAGGCUUAACCUGGGAACUGCAUCCGAUACUGGAUGGCUUGAAUCCGGGAGAGGGAUGCAGAAUUCCAGGUGUAGCGGUGAAAUGCGUAGAUAUCUGGAGGAAUACCGGUGGCGAAGGCGGCAUCCUGGACCGGCAUUGACGCUGAUGAGCGAAAGCUAGGGGAGCAAAC